UACCCUCCAUAGACCCUCCAUAGACCCUCCAUAGACCCUCCAUAGACCCUCAGUAGACCUUCCAUAGACCCUCCAUAUACCCUCAGUAGACCUUCCAUAGACCCUCCAUACAUACUACUGUGACAUAGACUGACCAGGUGAAUUCAGGUGAAAGAUACAAUCCCUUUUUGAUGUCUGUUGUUAAAUCCACUUCAGUCAGUCUUAGGUGAAGGGGAGGAGUCAUGUUAAAUCCACUUCAGUCAGUCUUAGGUGAAGGGGAGGAGUCAUGUUAAAUCCACUUCAGUCAGUCUUAGGUGAAGGGGAGGAGUCAUGUUAAAUCCACUUCAGUCAGUCUUAGGUGAAGGGGAGGAGUCAUGUUAAAUCCACUUCAGUCAGUCUUAGGUGAAGGGGAGGAGUCAUGUUAAAUCCACUUCAGUCAGUCGUAGGUGAAGGGGAGGAGACAUGUUAAAUCCACUUCAGUCAGUCUUAGGUGAAGGGGAGGAGUCAUGUUAAAUCCACUUCAGUCAGUCUUAGGUGAAGGGGAGGAGUCAUGUUAAAUCCACUUCAGUCAGUCUUAGGUGAAGGGGAGGAGUCAUGUUAAAUCCACUUCAGUCAGUCUUAGGUGAAGGGGAGGAGACAUGUUAAAUCCACUUCAGUCAGUCUUAGGUGAAGGGGAGGAGUCAUGUUAAAUCCACUUCAGUCAGUCUUAGGUGAAGGGGAGGAGUCAUGUUAAAUCCACUUCAGUCAGUCUUAGGUGAAGGGGAGGAGUCAUGUUAAAUCCACUUCAGUCAGUCUUAGGUGAAGGGGAGGAGUCAUGUUAAAUCCACUUCAGUCAGUCUUAGGUGAAGGGGAGGAGUCAUGUUAAAUCCACUUCAGUCAGUCUUAGGUGAAGGGGAGGAGACAUGUUAAAUCCACUUCAGUCAGUCUUAGGUGAAGGGGAGGAGUCAUGUUAAAUCCACUUCAGUCAGUCUUAGGUGAAGGGGAGGAGUCAUGUUAAAUCCACUUCAGUCAGUCUUAGGUGAAGGGGAGGAGUCAUGUUAAAUCCACUUCAGUCAGUCUUAGGUGAAGGGGAGGAGUCAUGUUAAAUCCACUUCAGUCAGUCUUAGGUGAAGGGGAGGAGACAUGUUAAAUCCACUUCAGUCAGUCUUAGGUGAAGGGGAGGAGACAUGUUAAAUCCACUUCAGUCAGUCUUAGGUGAAGGGGAGGAGUCAUGUUAAAUCCACUUCAGUCAGUCUUAGGUGAAGGGGAGGAGUCAUGUUAAAUCCACUUCAGUCAGUCUUAGGUGAAGGGGAGGAGUCAUGUUAAAUCCACUUCAGUCAGUCUUAGGUGAAGGGGAGGAGUCAUGUUAAAUCCACUUCAGUCAGUCUUAGGUGAAGGGGAGGAGACAUGUUAAAUCCACUUCAGUCAGUCUUAGGUGAAGGGGAGGAGUCAUGUUAAAUCCACUUCAGUCAGUCUUAGGUGAAGGGGAGGAGUCAUGUUAAAUCCACUUCAGUCAGUCUUAGGUGAAGGGGAGGAGACAUGUUGAAGAAUAAUUUUUAAGCCUUGAGACAAUUGAGACAUGGAUUGUGUAU